CUUUGUUCCAGGAAGGGAGUGAGGCUGAGUAUACAUCAUGCAUGUGCAUGUCUGUGUGCAUCUACUAUUUAGCCAUUUGUUCCUUCCUUCUGAAAAUAUUUACUGAUUGCCUACUAUGUGUGCCUGUGGAUUCCAUAGUGAAGAGAAGACACAAGGUCCCUGCCCUCAAAGGAGCUUAUUAGACCCAGAACGCAUGUCUCCGUGGGAUGUGUGUACCUGAAGAAACUGUUCUAAGCAACAAGGAGAAAGCCAUGAACAGAAUGAAGAUCCCUGUGCUACGUUCUAGUGGGGGAGGCCGUGGGUGAACAGUUCAGGAGGCCAGAAGUCCAAAGGCAGUGUCACUGAGCUACGGCCAAGGUGUCAGCAGUGCUGGUUCCUUCUGGAGGUUCCAGGGAGAGAAUCCAUUUCCUUGUCUUUUUCAGCGUCUAGUGGCCACCUGUGUUCCUUGGCUUGUGGCCCCUUCUGUUUUCAACGAGCAUCACUCUGACCCCAGCUUCCUUCAUUGCAAUCACCUCCUCCUCCAAUCCUGGCUCCUGUGCUCUUCCUAGAACGACCCUGUGAUUACAUUAGGCCCACCCGGAUGGUCCGCGCUAACUCAGUCACAGAUGAAAGUCCUGUGCAAGUGAAAACCAUUUCCUCCUCACCGUGGAACAGGUCCAGAGGCUGCGCCCAUCUCUCCCACGUCAACAGCCCCGCGUCCUUGGCGAAGGACAGUGCUCUCAUUCUGUGCCUUCCCCUCCCCAGCCAAAGCCCUGCCCCCGCACCUCCCUGCAGCCCAUAAAAAGGCAGAAUUACCUGAGGCCGGGAGGAGUGGAGUCUGCAGGGGCCACGCUUGUCCCCAUCCCCGCUUCCCUUCCUCCUCCACUGCAUUUUCCCAAAGCAGCUCUGUGCAGGGCCUGGGGGUGUCCCUGGUCUGGGGUUAAAUCCAGCCCAAACCACCCCUCAAAGCCAACAGCCCCGAGCGAGUGUGCAGCAGUGCAAGAGCUCUUCCUGAUGCCAAACAGAGAUGUCGGCCCUUCAAGGGGGAUGAACUGAUUGGGGACAAAAGGCAGUCGUCGCCCAGGAAGGCAGGAUUUGGGGAGCCUUGCGCUGCGUGGAGGCGGGUGGGUAUGUUUCCUUGGCUCGCAGAGGCCCCUUGUCUGGUGGGAUCAGCUCCUCCAGCCAGUUUCCACCUGGCCCAGCUUUGGGAGAUGCGGAGAAUGAAUUUCACAGUGAUUUCCACCAGGCCAUGGCACUGAAACAGCUGCAGGGGGGACACAGCUGGUGCUGCCCCCACCCGUUCCAUCAGAGCCGCUCUGGAGGAAUGCCACCCUCCCCGUGGGGAGCGAGACGGCCCGCUUGCUGUGGCUGGUUCCGGGCACCGUGGGAAGGUACCUGGAAACUGCACCUCCAUUUUCAACAGCACAAGCUGGCUUUUAUCUUUAAAAAUCCCAUUAUCACUUAUUCCAGUGGCUCCCAGACCUGGCUAACCAUCAGGAUC